rnacentral:tRNA from 1 species
CGGAGUGUGGCGCAGCGGAAGCGCGCUCGGCUGGGGGCCGAGAGGCCGCAGGUUCGAUCCCUGUCACUCCGA